rnacentral:lncRNA from 15 species
AUGGCCCCCUCACAGUCAUACAUACCCCCUGUUUCCCCACAAGCACCCAUUAAUGUUCUCACUACAUCCAUGUCAGUCAGUGAUCCUGCUGGACUAGCAGGGACCAUUGUGCCCCUCGCUCAGCAGACCCAACCCCCUGCCACUCCCAUGCAGCUGACUGACAUCAUUCCCCAGACAGCACCCCAGCAAACACAGCCUGUCAUGAUCCCUCAGCAGACUAUUGUCCAACAACAACAGAUAGGGAUGGAUCCCCAGACCUCCACCCUUCAGCAGCAGCAGCAACAGCAAAUGGAGGCCCAGGCCACUCUGCUCGAACAACAACAAGUUGGUACCACUCAGCCACCAACGGAGCAUCAUCUACAGAACCUUCAAACUUCAGCUGUCCAGAAACAUCAACAUGAGCCUCAGCAGCAGAUCUAUGUACAGCAGCCUGUUCCUCCUGUCCACACAAUUCCUCAGCAGCAAGUAUUACCUACACAAACAGGUAUGGAGCAGCGAGCUAUGUCAUUACCACAGCCAGGGGAACAACCGCAGACUUAUAAACAGCAACCAACAGGGGAUCCUCGUGAGCAGACCAUGAUACAACCACAACAACUGCAACAACAGCUUCAGCAACAGCAAACUCUGCUACAACAGCAACAACAACAAGCUUUACUGCUUGAACAUCAGACGUACGUCCAACAACAGCUUGAUCAACAGCAACAAACAGUGUUGCUUCAACAGCAGCAACAACAACAGGCCCAAUUACAACAGUAUCAACUGGAGCAGCAGCAAGCACUUAUACACAAGCAAUUGUUGGAUCAACAACAGCAGCAAGCUCUCAUUCAACAGCAAGAGCAGCAACAACAGCAACCACAACAGUCGCUUUUACAACAUCAGUUAGAGCAGCAACAACAACAGCCUACUUUACAGCAACAGCAGCAGAGCCAGUUAUAUCAACAAAUUGGACAACCCCAAGCUGGAACACAAAAAGAACCAGAGAAGCAACAACAAAGUGGACAACAGCAGCAACAGCUUGUAUUGCAGCAGCAGCCUCAGCAGACUCAACAGCAAACGGAACAACAAUUGCAGCAGCAAGCCAUACUCCGACAAAUGGAACAACAACAGCAACAAGCACUAAUACAACAGCAUCUGCAACAGCAGGCUAUUUUACAACAGCACCAGCUACAACAGAAAGCUCAGCUACAGCAACAGCAACAAGAGCAGCAACAGGUACAAUUCAAGCAGCAGAUAGAGCAGCAGCAGCAAGCUCUGUUGCAACAACAGUUAGAACAACAGCGUCAGCAACAAGUCCUGUUGCAACAACAACAAGCAGAGAGAUUACAGCAACAGGCUCUGAUACAGAAACAGAUUCAAGAGCAGCAGCAACAAGCAGCCAUCAUUCAGCUUCAGAAAACUGAGAAACAAGAAGCUGUGCCUAUUCCACAAAGUAACAGUGAGCAGCAGAUUCAGCCGCAAACAAGUGAUAUACAGCAUGUGUGUAUCCCACAGCUAAACACCACCCAGCUUGCACCUCAUACCACUCUCACACAGCAGCAAGUGAUAGAGCAACAACAGCACGCAGCAUUGAUCCAGCAGCAGCAAGUAUUUGUUGCCCAGCCGCAGCAUCAUACCUCAGUAAUGGAACCUCAUAUCUCAGUUGGAGCUCCUGCUGGUACUGAGGUGAUUCAGCACCAAACUCAAAAAGCCUCACAGGCACAGGUCCUCAUGGCCAAUCAGACUACACAGAUCCCUGUCCAGACGUCUGCUGUUGUCCCAGCUCAAGUUCUUACCCAGCAAGGACAAAGUGAGGCCCUUUCCCAGAACCAGGGUCAGGUCCCGGUCCAAUUUAUAGCCCAGUCCACAGUCCAAGCACCUCAGGCUAUGGCUGAGGCCCAAGUGACUCUUCCAGCAGCAAUGAUCCAGGGACAGACCCACGUCAUCCAGACCCAGCAAAUUCCUUUACAGCCUAGUUAUGCAGGACCUGCCACUCACACACAGAGCCAGGUAACUGCUCAGCCAUUAAUCCAGACUCAGCCUCUGCAACUGACAAUUAGUCAGUCCCAGCCACCACAUAGCCAGGGCCCAACUGUGGACAUUCAGAUGAUGGGCCAACAAAGCCAAGCUGCUGUCCAGCCUCCAGCUGCAAUUGCCUCAAUUCCCAGUCAGAUCCAACAUGAGACUCUUGUUCAGCAAAAUUCUCAGAUGCCAGGGCUCAUGCAGGCCCAGCUCCAGCAACAAACACAAGGCCAGCCACCUAUCCAGGUGCAUGCUCAGGCUGCUGCCAGCCUUUUGGCACCUCAGUAUGUCCCCCAGCCUACCCACCAAGCCAUGGUAUCUGGACAACAGGAUAUAUCUCAUAUUACACAGCAGCAGCAGCAGCAGCAACAGCAGCAGCAGCAGCAGCAGCAAGACCCAUUACUACAGUAUCAGCAGAUGAUUCUGUCUCCUGGCCCAGCGGGAGGUGUUGGAACUACAGCAGAUCUUAGUCUCAGUUCUAUAGUUGACCCUCCUAACUUUGUUGCCGCUUCUCAUCCUGUGCAGCAGGCUGGACAAGCCUAUGUUUCGGGCCAAACAACACUACAUCCAGUUGUUCAGGCCAAGCAGCAGCCCCUAGGAAGCACUGCUGACCCUUCAGUCAUUCAGCCCAUCACCCAGUCUACUAUGCCUACUGGCCAAUACCAGCAACAGCUACAGAAUCUUUCUCAAGCGUAUCAACCACUAGCUCCACAGGCCCAGUUACUGGCACAGCCCAUCCCAACUACGAUCCAGCAACCGCUUCCUCCAAAGCAGGCUAUGAUACCCCUUGAUGAGAGUCAGCUGCCCCCGCAGGGUCCACCUGCUUCACAUCUGGUGACCCAUUCCGCUGCACAGAUAGUCCCCAGUAAUGUGGCCGGGCCUCAGUCCCAAAGCAAGACCCAGCCCCUGUAUAGUCAUCUAGUGGCAGGCACCCCUUCGUCUCCGCAGCACCAAGCCAAGCAGAUGCUGCCAGCUCACACACACACACAAACCAGUAUUCAGGCCCAAACACACUCCCAAACACAGACACACGUUCAGACACAAGCUCAUUCUCACACUCAGACGCACACUGAGACACCUGUUGCUGAACAGCCUAUCCUGCCCCAUGCUGUCUUUCCUGCACAACAGAUGCCCCUCAGCCCCUCUCAUACCUCAUGUCCCCCAACAUCACUACCAUCUCUUCCUUCCCUACCAUCCCACCAUUCUGCUGCUGCCCCUGUGCCAGAGCUGCCUACAUCUCCGCCAGCGGCCCAGGUAACCUUACCAGGGCAGGCCGAUUUUAUACCCACCUCCCCUCCGCCUGUCACUACUCUUCAAUCGCUUGAUUCUAAUGCCCCCAAACUGCCCCAAGCCUCGCUGCAAGACUGUGACCUUUCCCUGCUGGGCAUUGCUCAGGUACAGGAAGAAUACAAGUUUGCUGUAUUAAUUAAGAAAACAUUUUACUUUGCUGACAUACUGGCAGAAUGA